rnacentral:tRNA from 1 species
GCUUUCAUGGUGUAGUGGUCAGCACGCUGGGCACAUAUUCCAGACGUCCGUGGUUCGAGUCCCGGCGAAGGCA